UUUCAUAAGGAAUGGUUGAGUAACGAUUUAUCGGUGAGCAUUUCUCUAAGCAUUAUUGUGUAAGGGAUGGGUCCGAGGAACGCGGCUCUGAUACCAACUAUAACGGCCCCAGAAAUUUAAAUGAAAUGUAUGUAUUAAAAAUAUCAAAUGCGGAAGCGUAAUAAAAAUUUUGAUUAACAUCCCUUAUACAAUAACCAAAACGUACUCAAAACAUGAAGGAACAAACUAGCUAAAAGAGAUACACGAAAUAAGAACUAUAAAUAUA
rnacentral:lncRNA from 1 species